UUUCCAUAUGUUAACUAUUCUGCUUGUAAUUUUUUUAACUUUUUUGUUACCGCUGUUUUAUUCGAAAUAUUUAUUCUCAUAAAAUAUUUGGUUUGAAUGGGAAUAGAAAUUCAUUGACAAUAAAACAUGAAUAAAACAAAUGUUAAUAUGAAGUAAAGUGGUUCAUGGAUACAUAGCUUUAAAACAAUGGAUUCCAAUAUGCCAAGAACAAUGGUGCAGCAAUAUAAAAGCAAUAAAGCAUUCGUACUGACAUACAGCUUAUUGUGAGGCAGAAAGAGGGAAUGCAGGGCACAGACAUUUUUUAUUGGAAGCAGAGUUGACAUUGAUUGCUUCCCCUGUCAGCCAAGAGGCUGUAUGAUCUGUCCAUGAACAAAGGUAAAAAGUCACUAGAACAGCCCAGAAUAUAAUGGAAGUGACAUCGAAUGACUAGAUAGACCUGAAGGAUUGUCUGACUGAAACAAAGGUGGUGUGCCAUUAUGAUAAACAUAUGGACGUUGAUUUUUCUCGGAUGAUGACGUGCAUCUUGUUUUCACAGCAGAAGAGGAGUGCAUGGUUUGCAGCGACAGUUUAUCAUAGAAAAAUAUGACAGUUUUCCCCUCAAAAUACACUGCAGUUUCGCUUGAGUGAUCAGUGGUGACUUUUACAUUACCAGAAAACAACAAGAUAAAUUACUAAAAAAAAUUUGUGUAUAACACUUGAGAAAGGAUACUUCAUGGAAACAAGAUGAAACAUUAUUACUGGAAACAUAAUUAAGACUUAUUUAAAAGAUUAGCUGGAGUUGAAUGACACUCGAAACACUUGUGUACAACAUAAGCUGAUAUUUUGUAUGUUGUAAAUCAUAAAAGUUGUAAUUUUUCUAGUUAUUCACUCACAGUUUAUGUAAAGAACUGUAUUUAAGAAGUGUCAUAUCCUUUGCUUGUAAUAAAUGUGAACAGAAAUUGAG